rnacentral:rRNA from 1 species
CUACGGGUUGCUGCAGUGGGGAAUAUUGGGCAAUGGGCGCAAGCCUGACCCAGCAACGCCGCGUGAGGGAAGAAGGUUUUCGGAUUGUAAACCUCUGUCCUUGGGGACGAAGAAGUGACGGUACCCAAGGAGGAAACUCCGGCUAACUACGUGCCAGCAGCCGUGGUAAUACGUAGGGAGCAAGCGUUGUCCGGAAUUACUGGGCGUAAAGGGUGCGUAGGCGGCAUAUUAAGUCAGGUGUGAAAUACUCGGGCUCAACCCGGGGGCUGCAUUUGAAACUGAUAUGCUUGAGUGUGAGAGAGGAAAGUGGAAUUCCUAGUGUAGCGGUGGAAUGCGUAGAUAUUAGGAGGAACACCAGUGGCGAAGGCGACUUUCUGGCUCAUAACUGACGCUGAGGCACGAAAGCGUGGGGAGCAAACAGGAUUAGAUACCCCCGUAGUC